rnacentral:tRNA from 1 species
GUAGUCGUGGCCGAGUGGUUAAGGCGACGGACUAGAAAUCCGUUGGGAUUUUCCCGCACAGGUUCGAAUCCUGUCGACUACG